AGCCUCACAGCUCAGCUGGUAGAGCGUACGCGUACAAAGAGUAGGUGAUGUCUAUACGUGGGUUCGAAUCCUGCCGAGGCUA
rnacentral:tRNA from 1 species